CCCUGUGUGGUGUAGCGGUGUGAGCACUGGACUGCAAUUCUGGAGACCAGGGUUCAAAUCCCAGUUUGGCUG